GACAGAGGGUGCAAACGUUGUUCGGAAUUACUGGGCGUAAAGCGCGUGUAGGCUGCUUGGAAAGUCGGAUGUGAAAGCCCAGAGCUCAACUCUGGAACUGCCUUUGAGACUGAGAGGCUUGAGUACGGGAGAGGUGAGUGGAAUUCCCAGUGUAGAGGUGAAAUUCGUAGAUAUUGGGAAGAACACCGGUGGCGAAGGCGGCUCACUGGCCCGAAACUGACGCUCAUGCACGACAGCGUGGGGAUCAAACAGG
rnacentral:rRNA from 1 species